rnacentral:misc_RNA from 1 species
AAGUCGUAACAAGGUUUCCGUAGGUGAACCUGCGGAAGGAUCAUUAAAAAAUCUUUUAAUGAGCCGCAAGGCUCUAAUAUUUUGUGAAAUGUGUAUAUUAUUACAGGCUUGAGGAGGUGGAGUGUAGUAGUAGAAAUUAGUCUUAUGAAAUGGGAUAAGUUUCUUCGAAAGACUUGCCUCUUAUUGGACUGUGAUGAUAUAAAAUAUUAAUACAUAUGAUUUUGAUGUUGAGGAAGUAUUAUAUCAAUUAUAAUAUAUGUACAACUUUCAACAGUGGAUCUCUCGGCUCUU